UGGAGUGUGACAAUGGUGUUUGUGUCCAAUUAUCAAACGCCAUUAUCACACUAAAUA
rnacentral:pre_miRNA from 1 species